UCAAAGUCUGUUAAGUAAAGUUUAAAGAGAAAUUGCAACGCAUAUACAAACAUAACAUCAAUAUUUGCAUGAAAGUAAAACCAACUUUUUGGCUGAGCUGUUUUUUCAAAAUAGCAAAUUUAUCCCUAUACUAGCUAAAUCAACCUAAUGCUUCUUCUCAUUACACAAAGCACGCGUGAUAAAACUUGUCAGGAGAGAGAGAGAAUGAAUUAUCUAUAGAUAUAUUGUUUUUAAAUACGGAUGGUCUUGUAUUGUUCUUUUUCUUCUUUCCUCUUUUCUCUUUCUUCUUCGAUCAAUCGAUUGUGUUCAAUCUUAACUCUUUCUACUAUGUCGUAUAUUUCACCUCUCUUAUCUUAUCUCUUUCUUCAGAAUUUUGUAACUUUCUAUGUCUCUUGAUCUCUCAUCUCUUCUUGUCUUUAGAUUUAUCAUCUUCUCUUCUCUGAUAUAGCCGUCACGCCAUCUCACCGUCACAUCAUCACGCCAUCACACCAUUACCUCUGCUCAAGCUUGCCGUCACACAAUUACCUCGACUCUGGUCAAGCUCACCGUCACGCUGUCGCCUCACCUUUGCUACAGCUUGCCGUCACUUCACCUUUGCUACAGCUCGCCUUCAUUUCAGUCAAUGGAGAGGAUGAAAGUCCAAGAUGCUAUAGAGGAGGACGAAGUACAAGAGGAGAGAGAAGGUAUAAAAAGAUGAGAGAGGAUGAAGAGGAAGAAGAGAAGAACAUAGGCUUCCAUAGACUACGACGGAGACUGGCCGUAGAAGAUGACAGAAGUGUGGUCUGUUUGUUUACUGAUGGCAUCCUGGAUUACUAGUUGCAUGAUUCUCAACUGCCACAGUCUCAUAAUUGGUGAAUCUCAACAUGAGUCUCGUUGAUUCUGGACAUCAGUACCGCUUAACACAUAUGUAGAGUAUUAAUGUUUUGUUAGAAUUAGCCAAUUAUGAAUUUUUCCAAAACGUAUAACAAUAAACAUAACCAUCAUUAAAUCAAAUAGCCGGUAAUUUUAAAUCUAAAUAUCAGCUAACAUGUAAAGUAUCUGAAUAAUCAGAAAUAUAACCAUGUUAAUUUAUCGAAGAUCUGAAAAUUUAUAAUAUAACCAUGCUAACUUACAUAUCAACUAUAUGAGUUUUACUUAUAUGAGUUAAUCUAAUAUUACCCAAAAUAGAAUAAAGGAAGAUGAACACAAAAACAUAUAUUUAUUAGCCGGAUAAUUAUAAUCGAGAAAACAUGCGUGGUCGGAUAACUAUAUUGUUAACCGACCAUUUAUUAAAAAUGCUAACCAAGAAUAAUGAUAUCUAGAUAAUUUGUAUAUAUUACCAGCUAACUAUAACAAAAAAAAAUUCAAGUGAAAUCUUAACCUGUUAUUUCACAAAUUACAUCAUACAGAAAAGUAAAAUAUAUUUCCAAGAACCAAGGUAACAACUAAUAGUUGGUACCUCACCCUUAACAGACUCCCGUAUUCUAAGUUGAUCCACCGGAGAUGGUACUUGACAACGGCAAUGCGACGGUAAUGCGGCGGUGACGGAAGUAGAUGAUGAUGGUUAUAAAGAAAGCAUUUGUUGAAGCGUGGAGAGUGAAUGAGCUUAUUGUUAAACAAGGCUCGUGUCCAGCUUCCGCGAGUUUAUGUGCCGUCGUGUAACCACAUCCAAAAUUUGAUGGUUCGAACUGAGAGAGAUUUGAAAUUGAGUAUGUGAAUUUGUGACAAAGAAUCUAAAAAUUAUAAAAUUUCCGUAAUAGAAAGGAUCCCAAUAUAAAAAAAACGAUUAUUCAGUGUUUGAUAAUUUAGCUUUGUGUGAAAAGAGAUGUGGAUGUAGUUUGCAAGAGGAAACGAGAGAGAGAGAGAGAGAGGAUGCAUAUAGACCCAUGUGAUGUCCGGU
rnacentral:lncRNA from 1 species